rnacentral:lncRNA from 1 species
UUUUGAAUAACAAGUUAAAAGAGUAGUAAAAAGUUGGUUAUGACAUUUAAAAUUAACAUAUGCAAUACUUCUAUUUUCUUGGGAGUAUUACUAAUCACAAGUUGAUGAGGAAGGUACAACAAGUAAAAAGAGAAGGGCGGGUAUGUUUAGCAGAACCCUAGGGUGUAUUAUCCUUUUACCAAUUUUAUUUAAAAACUUCUUAAAACAACUUCACAAGUUUUAAACAGUGAAUGUAAAGGGAUUAGAAACAUUUUGAUGUAUCCUCAGGCAAGCUUUAACAAAUUCAUCUUACGUUCAUACUUCGGUCUUCGACCAAUAGUUGUUCUUCACUAAACCCCUAAGAUGGUAGAUCACUAAGGAUGAGGGGGAGUGGGCUUGAGGUGGGAUGUUGCAGUAGUGCACCCUAUGUGUUGCGCAGUAUCGAGUGAGAACACUGCCUCACCCAGUCACCCCCUUUGGUAUCGCCCACAUGUGGUAGAUGCGGGUUUGCUAUGCUGAACGGUGAAGGAUUCUUGUAGGUGAUGUACAACAAGUCGGUUCAAUGUCCCACCCAAAAGGUUGAGGGAUGAGAAAGAUGAAAAUUACCAUGGUUUUAGGGAUGGGUUGGGUACUUGGGUUGGGAUGAAAUGAUAAAAACUGAUGCACUGCUAAUAGAGAGAGUGAGAUGGGAGGGGAGGGGUGGACUUCAUUCAUACUUAUAGAUGGGUGAUUCUAUACAAACCCCUAUAAUCUUAUUUUCACAUUCCUAGUGUAUACAGACCGUAUAAUCUUAUACGGCUCGUAUAGAAUGCUUUUGCAUAGAAAUAAAUGCAGUGGAAUCUUUUUUUUUGUUUUACAUGUAUACGGGUAGUAUAACCUUAUAUGAACCGUAUAGUAUACGAGCAAUAUAAUGUUAUACGGCCAAAUGUAUACGGGCAAGAGAAAUUGGUGGAACCCGAUGUAUACGGGCCGUAAAA